CCCGAGACAUCUGAAGGGCCCGGCGCCGCGCGGAGGCCGCGGAGAAGCCCGGGCUCAGAAUGUUAGGAUAAAGUAUUCUGGGCACAGAACUCCUUCAUGAUGACCACUGUGAUUCACGAAUGCAACUCAAGGAAGAGCUAAAGCCAGAGGUUUCAUCCAAAAUCCACAAAACAAUGGAUUUACCCUCAAGUCAUCCAAGCACCUUCAGAGCAGCCGUACUCCACCAGGGGAGUUUGAGUUGGUGUGUGCACAGCUGAUCUUGGACUCAUGAUAGCUGGGGACAUAUUCUCUUUAGCACUGGGGUGGGCAAUUUCUGGCUACACUGGCACACCCCCCAAACCUACAGGAGGACCAGACUCUUACUUCUGUUUAAAUUGUUAUGGCAAUAGCAAAAAGUACUGCUUUUCCUUUAAGCCCAUGAUAGUCAAAGGUUGUGGACCAUGGAGCAGUCCUGGUCUAUAUGCCAUUAGCUGCUGGUUCCUGCAAUCUAUAGGAAGGAAAGAGUUGUAACCAAUUGGCAUAAACAUGGUACCCAUCCCUGGCACCUGGGAAAAACAAUUGUCAGCUCUCUACAUCAUAUGAUUUAAGAUGCAUUGCUUUAAAAAACACAUUUGCUCCCUGUAUUUGGCUUAUGAGUUGACUUGUACUUCUGGGAGAUUUCAAGCAGCAUAGCAGGGACCCUUGGAGAAUGCAAAAAUUGGCAGGGGCAGCAUGUUGCCCACCAUUUCUUUAUCAGAAUCAUUUUUAUCACCAUUUUUUACAUAAUGGUAAAUCCUUUAUGGAGGACACUAUUAGCUGUUUUUAAUUCAUGUAAACUUAAUGAAGAAACAUAAAAAAUCGCCAUACUUUUAAAUACCUGUAUAUAAAAAUCCAGUGGCUGGAGAGAUGGGCAUAACAUGUUCUGUUCAGUUUAUUUUGAUUGGCACAAUUAUGGAUAGUCAGCUACCAGAAACCUAUAAUUCCAGUUAGUUGUGAACACUUACAUUAGACUGUUACUGCCUACCAGUCUUACAAUAUGAAAUAAGUCAUAUAUAGAUGGUGUCAUGCUGGAAUGGAGAGAAAUGUAAUUAAGUAUUAACACAUCUUAACAUGUACACCCCUCAAGUGUGGAUUUCUUGUAGUGUUAACCUGAAAUAUUACAUCAGCACUUAGUUAAUCUAAAUCCUUCAUAAUCAGAGGUUACCUAUCCCUGGUUAAGGAGUAAGGUGAUUAGCAUUAACUGUAACAGUGAUGCCAAUACAGUUAAAUAUGGUUAAUGGGAGAUGGAAGAGGGGUGAAUACACAAUCCAGUGCUCUGCUGCCAAUGUCUUAAUCUUGGCUAGCAGAUCAGGAUUGUCAUUUCUGUCCUGUCACAAGUCUGAUGUUGUUAUGGUACAAACAUAUGGACUUUCAUCAGCAAGAUCCUAUUCCAUCAGGUGUGUUUAAUAUCUGAUCUCACUGGCCAUUAUUGGUUAGGUGUCAGUUGUUGACUACACAUGGAAUAAAACCUUGUGAGCUAGAUACUGCGAACCCAGAUCAUAACAAAUUAAUUCGAGAGACACCAAAAACAACAGCAACAACAGAUUGAAAAUAGAAAUUACUAAAACUGUACCAACUCUAGAAAAUGGCAACAUUCCCUCUGUUAGGACAUAUAUUAAUCUUGAUGGAUCAGAACUGGAACGGAGUGGGGGAUGUCUGUUCUUCUAGUGGUAGUAGCUUUCUCCCGUUUAAGGGCAAUCCAUCAUAUAAAAUAGUCUCCCUACUUCAAAUCAGCAAAUAGUUUGCAAUUUCUCUUUCUCCAGUGGCCUUGCAGGUGGACUAUAGGUAGCAACCAAAGUGGAUGAAGAUAGCUUUAGCUGAUUAUUUAGUCAUAUCCUUUUCUUUUGUAGGGUCUUGUUAAGCAUUGUGCACAUAAAUUGCCUUCUGUGAACUAUUCCAGAAGCUAUUUUUAAAAAAAAUAUUUUCAGUCACUGAUGAGGACUUCCUUUCAUACAAACUGCAGUACAUGUAUGAAGAGGUUACAUGCAAGGCCAUAAUCAUGAGUUCCAGUAAUGUUAUUGAAUGUCAUGGGCAUUCAGUGGUUCCUGAUCAGGCAGUUUCAGAGAAUGGCAAUGAAGAAACAUGCCAAAAAAACCUCACCUGUGAUUGGUUUGUCUUAGGGUCAUCAUAAGUCAGAAACGACUUGGUGGCAAACAACAGUGGUGGAUAUUUUUAGUAGUAUGUGUGCAAGUCCCAUCUUUCAACAAGCAGAAGUCUGGGUGAAGAAUUUUGCUUUUAAUAUGAUAUAAUGGACAUGUAUUCUUGCUAAGCAGUAUUUUAACACAGGAAAUUGCAUGUGAGUUAGAGUGCACAAAUGCUGGUGUGCAUAUGUAUCAUAGUUUUCCUUCUGAGUUCACUGAACUUUGAAAAGUUGUCAUUAGGCUUUCGAGAAUCUAAAAGGCUGAGGAAAAGCCAAUCGAAUGUUGCAUCAAUGUAUGAUUUUGGACUGAUUGCUGGGUUGCAAUCAGUCUAAAAUCAUUUAAAUGAAUACUGAACUUCUCUUACACAGCUCUUCCAUGCUGCAGAAAUAAAGCAGCUUGAUGCCACUUUCACUGUCAAGGCUCCAUCCUGUGGAAUCCUGGGAUUUGUAGUUUGCUAUGUCCACGAGAUUUGCUGCCUCACCAAAUUAUAAAACUGAGGUGUCGAACUGCUUUAUUUCUUCAAUGUGGAUGCACUGACAGACUUCUUAAACAUGCCCACCUCCAUUUCCAGCUUCGACUGGUUACAUGCAAACCCAAAGGCAAUUUUCUCACAAUUAAAACUCUCAGUUCCGAUAAACUAUGAUUGAAACCACUAGUGAAAAGGCACACGGUGGGAAGUAUUCAAUCCAUUUUUAAAAAAGAAUGCAACAAAUGACACCAUCCACUUCUUUGUACUGUGCUAAAGUGUUUUAAAUCAAUAUGGCUGAUUAAAGAGAAGGCAUGUUUGUGCAUGACAAUACCAGUGAACAGGCUUUUAAAAAGCUUCAAGAUAUCUUAAAAACAGAUAACAAAAAGUUACAUACAUCAAAAUUAUUUAACAUGAGAUUGUUCUGAAAACCCCCAAGUUUGCAGAUAAAAUUAAAUAUUACAGAUAUGUACUCAGUUUCUACCUCUUUUUAUACCAAUAGAUUCUUAAAAUAUACACAGAUAUAAUACAUAGUAUAAAUUAAUUUACUUGCACUUGCAUGGUGAAAUACUAUUGUCCUCUGGAAGAGCAUUAACCACAUCUUAUAAAUAUAUUUUCUAAGAUUCUUGCAAAAGUGCAUCCUGCAGCUCCCUUUCAUUUAACUUGACUCAGUGGGAUCACAUUCGGUGAUACACUUGGAAACUGCAGCUAGGGUCACUUUCACAUUUUACAUAUUUGGAUUCCCAGAAGCUGGCGCUCCUGUUUCAAUAUGAGGCAACUAUGUGAAUGUAUAGUUUCUGCUUGGUCUAGAAUGCAGGACGACAGGAGAAACUGGGAGUGUUCAUCCAAGUCAGUCCAUUUCAGUUAACAAGAAUGUGCCAGCCAUAGGCUAAUUAUUUGAGAGACGGAUGAUUCAGUCUUGGGGAGGAAGCCACUAUAAUGUAGAAAGUUCUCUGACUGUUGCAGUAAUGCCCAUGAGUUUGAAGGUUGUUAAACAAAAUUGAGCCAUGCUUUUAUAAAUAUAUUUAUUAACCAUGGCACCACAUUGGCUGGAAUUGCAGUAUUCAUUUAAAAACUUGAGUGAAAACCUUUAUAUAUUAUGCUGCAAUAAGAAGCACAUUGUUUGGCAAUGACAGAGCAAUGGAUUUGUUCAGCUGGAGGCAAGAAGCUAGUUAUGGUUCCUUAGUCUGUCAACCACAAGACCCACAACAUUGGCAUACCUAAACACAGAGGAUUAUUCUCACUUAUUUAGCUUACAGGGCAAGUCUUCCAACUCUUGGGUAUUGUCUUGUCUUGCCUGACACUUUUUUGCUGUGUCUCAAAAAUCGAGAGAGAAAGAAGCAAAUUUUACUAUGAGAAUUUCCUACUUUCCACACUUAAGGGUUUAUGUGUCUGAGUGACAUCAAGGGAACAUUUUCUUCAUUGAAAUAUUACUGGUUCAGGCUACACAGCUGGUGCCAUCAGGCUAAGCACCUUUGGCAUAGUCAAAAAAAUGACAUGGCGGAAGGUGAAGGCACUAUAGAAUUGAAACAAAUUGAGCAGAAUGAGACAUGUUCAAAGGUAGUGCUAGUAAAACAAUCAUUUUGCCCAAGUUAUGGGUUUACCCUUCUACUAUGAUUCCAUUUAAGAGUAUGAAAAGAUGUACCCCAAGUCUCUUCUAGUAUACCUUUUGGAUCCCCACAUCUGCUUUACAGCAAUAUCCAUACACUGAAAUGCUGGAGCAGCAUUUGUGUGAACACAAAUGAGAUCUACUGAACAAGAGGUGCUUUUUUGCUUACAAGGUGACUUUGGGGAUUUCUGUUUCCAACUGUGCAUCCAAGGCCUUGGUAAUACAAUAUAUUGAGGAACAUAGCCUGUAUCAGCAAUAACUGAAUAUGCAGACCGCUGAACUGUUAGUGAGAGAAAGGGCCCUUGGGAUUAAUUAUUUUCUAAAAAUGGGCAAAUACUCCAGUUCUUGAAUCAGGUCAGAAUGUUUUCAAAUCAAUCUGCUUUUGAAGCUGCAUUCAAUAGUAGGGAAUAUACCUUCUUGCUGGGCCUUUGAUUUAUAUAAAUAAAGUAAGUUCGAAAAGGACAGUAUUUAUGUGGCUUAAAAGCACUUCUACCAAAGAUGUACAACCAGAGAUGCAAGGGUGAACAACUUUUACAAGGUUCUUGCAACUUGCUGCUAACGCUGCUCCUCUAUGCCUUUGGAGACUUCAGUUGUUUGGACAGAAGUUGAAGAAUUGUUGGAAGCGGAUAGUAAAAGACGAUUGGGAAAAUGUUUUAUAUUAACAGGAUUUUGAACCUUUCCUUUAAGUUAGAAAAUGUUUAAAAUCAUUAAAUGCUUAUCCAGUGAAGUAGUUUCUGUUCUUUCUGCUGAUGGGAAUGCGGGCCUGUUACUCAAUGAUAAGUGAUGUCAUUUACUCAAAUAUUACUGCCUUUGUAUCUGUUGGAAAUUAAUUUCCUUACAUAUUCUUGUUUGCUUUAAAUGCUGAGAAAGACAUGAGA